rnacentral:rRNA from 1 species
GACGAACGCUGGCGGCGUGCUUAACACAUGCAAGUCGAACGGACCCUUUGGGGUUAGUGGCGAACGGGUGAGUAACACGUGGGUGAUCCGCCCUGCACUUUGGGAUAAGCCUGGGAAACUGGGUCUAAUACCGGAUAGGACUACGCACUGCAUGGUGUGUGGUGGAAAGCUUUUGCGGUGUGGGAUGGGCCCGCGGCCUAUCAGCUUGUUGGUGGGGUGAUGGCCUACCAAGGCGACGACGGGUAGCCGGCCUGAGAGGGUGACCGGCCACACUGGGACUGAGAUACGGCCCAGACUCCUACGGGAGGCAGCAGUGGGGAAUAUUGCACAAUGGGCGCAAGCCUGAUGCAGCGACGCCGCGUGAGGGAUGACGGCCUUCGGGUUGUAAACCUCUUUCGCCAGGGACGAAGCGCAAGUGACGGUACCUGGAGAAGAAGGACCGGCCAACUACGUGCCAGCAGCCGCGGUAAUACGUAGGGUCCGAGCGUUGUCCGGAAUUACUGGGCGUAAGGAGCUCGUAGGUGGUUUGUCGCGUUGUUCGUGAAAACUCACAGCUUAACUGUGGGCGUGCGGGCGAUACGGGCAGACUGGAGUACUGCAGGGGAGACUGGAAUUCCUGGUGUAGCGGUGGAAUGCGCAGAUAUCAGGAGGAACACCGGUGGCGAAGGCGGGUCUCUGGGCAGUAACUGACGCUGAGGAGCGAAAGCGUGGGGAGCGAACAGGAUUAGAUACCCUGGUAGUCCACGCCGUAAACGGUGGGUACUAGGUGUGGGUCUCCUUCCUUGGGAUCCGUGCCGUAGCUAACGCAUUAAGUACCCCGCCUGGGGAGUACGGCCGCAAGGCUAAAACUCAAAGGAAUUGACGGGGGCCCGCACAAGCGGCGGAGCAUGUGGAUUAAUUCGAUGCAACGCGAAGAACCUUACCUGGGUUUGACAUGCACAGGACGCCGGCAGAGAUGUCGGUUCCCUUGUGGCCUGUGUGCAGGUGGUGCAUGGCUGUCGUCAGCUCGUGUCGUGAGAUGUUGGGUUAAGUCCCGCAACGAGCGCAACCCUUGUCUCAUGUUGCCAGCACGUUAUGGUGGGGACUUGUGAGAGACUGCCGGGGUCAACUCGGAGGAAGGUGGGGAUGACGUCAAGUCAUCAUGCCCCUUAUGUCCAGGGCUUCACACAUGCUACAAUGGCCGGUACAAAGGGCUGCGAUGCCGUGAGGUGGAGCGAAUCCUUUCAAAGCCGGUCUCAGUUCGGAUCGGGGUCUGCAACUCGACCCCGUGAAGUCGGAGUCGCUAGUAAUCGCAGAUCAGCAACGCUGCGGUGAAUACGUUCCCGGGCCU